UGGACUCUGCGUGCAAGCUGAUGUCAUGCGAUGGGGGUGCGUCCUAUCAACUAGCUGAGAGGGUAAUGGCCUACCAUGUCGACCAUGGGUAGCUGGUCUGAGAGGAUGAUCAGUCCCACUGGGACUGAUACACGGCCCAAACUCCUACGGGAGGCAACAGUGGCGAAUUUGCGCAAUGGGCGCAAGCCUGACGCAGUAACGCCGUGUGAGUGAAGACGCCUUUCGGGGUGUACAGCUCUGUCAGUGGGGACGAAGGUGUGGUGAUGAACAGUUGCCAGGCGUGACGGUACCCACGAAGGAAACCCCGGCUAACUCCGUGCCAGCAGCCGCGGUACGACGGCGGGGGCGAGCGUUGUUCGGAAUUACUGGGCCGUAUAGCGCACGCAUGCGGCGUGCCACGUGCGAAGUGAAAGCCCUCGGCUUUACCUGGGACUGGCUUCGCAGACUGGUAAGCUUGAGUAGUCCGAGGGGGACGCCGAAUGCCUGGUGGAGCGGUGAAAUGCGUAGAGAUCAGGAAGAACGUCGGUCACGAAGGCGGCCUCCUGGACGAACACUGACGCUGAGGUGCGACAGCGUGGCGAGCGAACGGGAUUAGAUACCCCGGUAGUCCACGCAGUCAACGAUGGACACUAGGUGUGGGAUCGGGAAACGGGUCCGUGCCGGAGCUAACGCAGUAAGUGUCCCGCCUGGGGAGUACGGUCGCAAGG
rnacentral:rRNA from 1 species